rnacentral:rRNA from 1 species
GGAGGUUGCAAGCGUUGUUCGGGAUUUACUGGGGCGUAAAGGGAGCGCAGGCGGUUUGAUCAGUCUGAAGUGGGAAGCCCGGGGGGCUCAACCCCGGGAAGGCCUUUGGAUACUGUCAAACUUGAGUUCGUGAGAGGAAAGCGGAAUUCCAGGUGUAGCGGUGAAAUGCGUAGAUAUCUGGAGGAACAUCGGUGGCGAAAGCGGCUUUCUGGCACGAUACUGACGCUGAGGCUCGAAAGCGUGGGGAGCGAACAGGAUUAGAUACCCUGGUAGUCCACGCCGUAAACGUUGUGCACUAGGUGUAGGAGGUAUCGACCCCUUCUGUGCCGCAGCUAACGCAUUAAGUGCACCGCCUGGGGAGUACGCUCGCAAGAGUG